rnacentral:rRNA from 1 species
AUAGUAUGUGAAUUGCAGAAUUCAGUGAAUCAUCGAAUCUUUGAACGCACAUUGCGCCCGCCAGCAUUCUGGCGGGCAUGCCUGUUCGAGCGUCAUUUCAACCCUCAAGCACUGCUUGGCGUUGGGGCCCUACGGUUGACGUAGGCCCCCAAAGACAGUGGCGGACCCUCCCGGAGCCUCCUUUGCGUAGUAACACAAAAGCCUCGCACUGGGACCCGGAGGGACUUCCGGCCGUAAAACCCCCCAAAUUCUUAAAGGUUGACCUCGGAUCAGGUAGGAAUACCCGCUGAACUUAAGCAUAUCAAUAAGCGGAGGAAAAGAAACCAACAGGGAUUGCCUCAGUAACGGCGAGUGAAGCGGCAACAGCUCAAAUUUGAAAUCUGGCCCCUCGGGGUCCGAGUUGUAAUUUGCAGAGGAUGCUUUUGGUGCGGUGCCUUCCGAGUUCCCUGGAACGGGACGCCGUAGAGGGUGAGAGCCCCGUACGGUCGGACACCAAGCCUAUGUAAAGCUCCUUCGACGAGUCGAGUAGUUUGGGAAUGCUGCUCAAAAUGGGAGGUAUAUUUCUUCUAAAGCUAAAUACCGGCCAGAGACCGAUAGCGCACAAGUAGAGUGAUCGAAAGAUGAAAAGCACUUUGAAAAGAGGGUUAAACAGCACGUGAAAUUGUUAAAAGGGAAGCGCUUGUGACCAGACUUGCGCCCGGUGAAUCACCCAGCUCUCGCGGCUGGGGCACUUUGCCGGCUCAGGCCAGCAUCAGCUCGCCGUCGGGGACAAAAGCUUCGGGAACGUAGCUCUCUUCGGGGAGUGUUAUAGCCCGCUGCAUAAUACCCUUCGGCGGGCUGAGGUACGCGCUCCGCAAGGAUGCUGGCGUAAUGGUCAUCAGCGACCCGUCUUGAAACACGGACCAAGGAGUCAACCUUAUGUGCGAGUGUUCGGGUGUCAAACCCCUACGCGUAAUGAAAGUGAACGCAGGUGAGAGCUUCGGCGCAUCAUCGACCGAUCCUGAUGUUCUCGGACGGAUUUGAGUAAGAGCAUAUAGGGUUGGACCCGAAAGAAGGUGAACUAUGCGUGUAUAGGGUGAAGCCAGAGGAAACUCUGGUGGAGGCUCGCAGCGGUUCUGACGUGCAAAUCGAUCGUCAAAUAUGCGCAUGGGGGCGAAAGACUAAUCGAACCUUCUAGUAGCUGGUUUCCGCCGAAGUUUCCCUCAGGAUAGCAGUGUUGAACUCAGUUUUAUGAGGUAAAGCGAAUGAUUAGGGACUCGGGGGCGCUAUUUUGCCUUCAUCCAUUCUCAAACUUUAAAUAUGUAAGAAGCCCUUGUUACUUAGCUGAACGUGGGCAUUCGAAUGUAUCAACACUAGUGGGCCAUUUUUGGUAAGCAGAACUGGCGAUGCGGGAUGAACCGAACGCGAGGUUAAGGUGCCAGAGUAGACGCUCAUCAGACACCACAAAAGGUGUUAGUACAUCUUGACAGCAGGACGGUGGCCAUGGAAGUCGGAAUCCGCUAAGGACUGUGUAACAACUCACCUGCCGAAUGUACUAGCCCUGAAAAUGGAUGGCGCUCAAGCGUCUCACCCAUACCUCGCCCUCAGCGUAGAAACGAUGCGCUGAGGAGUAGGCGGACGUGGAGGUCAGUGACGAAGCCUAGGGCGGAGCCC